UACCGUUGUGGGACAUUUUCUGAUUGCGGGUGACGUGCCCUUAGUGUAUAUUUUGUAUGCCUUAUUUACUACUUUGCUUAGUCGGCCUAUGAUACCUACUGAGUACAAGUGGACCGUACUCAUGCCUACUACGCCCUUUCGGUGUAGGUCCUAGCUCGAGUGCGCCUCAGCUUACUUGAUUCGGGCGGUUGUUGGAGCUUCCAAGGUAGCGGUUGGACAUUCAUGCGUCCGAAGUUCACCUCUAUCUUUCUAUACUAGUUAUGUCUUUAUUAGUGUUCGGAGACAGUUAUUAUUCCUUUGUGGUUAUUUUUCCGAUGUAUUUGACUUUUGGAUUGUAUUAGUAGUUCUUACACUAUUGACACCUAAUUUUGGGCA
rnacentral:lncRNA from 1 species